rnacentral:rRNA from 1 species
UACGUAGGGUGCAAGCGUUGUCCGGAAUUAUUGGGCGUAAAGAGCUCGUAGGCGGUUUGUCGCGUCUGCUGUGAAAACUCGGGGCUUAACUCCGGGCCUGCAGUGGGUACGGGCAGACUAGAGUGCGGUAGGGGAGACUGGAAUUCCUGGUGUAGCGGUGAAAUGCGCAGAUAUCAGGAGGAACACCGGUGGCGAAGGCAGGUCUCUGGGCCGAUACUGGCGCUGAGGAGCGAAAGCGUGGGGAGCGAACAGG